GCUCCAGGCGAAGGGCUGGUAAUUCUGGUUCCAUCCGCAGUGCUGGGGCUGCUGUGCAGGACUUGGGUGAGUGACUUCCCUUUAUGCUUCAUUCUUCUGCAAUGUAUGAAUUUAAAUAACUUAGUUCUGGCUAAAUUAAUAUUUGAAGGGUCUGCUCAAGGAAAAAGAGCACUCCCUUGGUGAAAAGCGAGGGGGAAAUACCUAGUCAAGUGAUGUGCAGAUAUGGAAAAUUAAACAAAUAGGAUUUAAAGUUUGUAAUUGUUCAGCUGUGAGGCCUUAUGUUCUAACUGCGUGGGGAAAACCAGGUACUUUAACUACAUAAAUAGAUGAUUUUUGUUUCUUUGGGUUUGUUUAGAGGGUUUUAGGAACACCCCAAUCAACCACGCAAUGGUUGUAACUUGUAUUUCUUUCACUAAUUUCUCUGCAGCAGGAGCACGGACACUUCUCAAGAUGUUGCUAGCUCAUAUAAACAUAGAGAAUAAGAAAAGCUGCAGGACUAUUAGGUUGGAUUUCCAUCUCUUUCUCAUCCAGGGCACCUGCUCCCCUUUCCCUCCCCUCCUCAGUCUUCCCAGCUGUCUGUCUGUCUCAUUUAUGUCAAUUAGAGAUUCAAUGCUGCCUGAUUUAAUUGGCCUGACUUUCCUUUCUAAUAGAAGCCCAAGCAAAGGCAGGGCAAGCAGGCAGGCAGCUCUCCAUGGGCUGCCUGCCCGGGGAAGGAGUCUCUCCCUCGCUGUUGGGAGGGCUGGGGCUUGUUUGCAAAGUAGAGCACAAUAACCUGUUUGUUAUCAUCCAUGAUGGGGAGGUUGGUGACCUCCUAACAGGGAUGAGCUGCAGGCAAGACGUGAUCCAAAAGCUUGGGGGUAUUUCUCAGUGGUUCGGGAAUCUGUGCAACCAGGUGCCCACCUCGGGUUGGCUUUUAGUGUGCUGCAGUGGUCAAGCUUUGCCACGUUUCCUCCUUCCACAAGGUCAGUAAGCAACACAACUUCCAUCAACCACAGCCCUAGAGGGCUCGUCCUUCCUCUUGAGCCUGAGCCACCCCCAGUGCUGCUUAACCAUGAGCAAAGCUGACCAAGGCCUUGAUUUCACAGGGUUUACACAAGGGUCUCUGACCCUGUCCCCUGCUUUGGGCAGCAAACCUGGAAGCAAAGCAGAUGAAAUCUCUGCCAUGCCUCCGCUCCCCCUCCAAGAGCCGGAUCCUGGGAAGCAGAUCUGACCUACUUCUUUUCCCUGGCUCCUCGCUCGCAGCUCCCUGACAAAUGACACAGCCCUUCAGCAGCUCGCAGCAGAAAAGCGAGUUUCCCAAAAAGCUGGCCCACAGAGGCGUCAAUGUUAAACAGCAACAGUACCAUCUAGUGACUUGGGCUUACAGAGAGCAUCACUUGGAAGGGGAAGAGGAAACCUGUGAAUUAGAGAGGCCAAGCAAGGUCCCAGAUUUGCAAAUGAGAUCCUAUCUCUUGGUUCAUUUGGAUUUAGGAAACAAAUGAUGCUGAUGCUGCAACCGUCCUUCUUUCCCGGGGUUCACAGUCCCAUUUUUAGGCUCCUGCCUCCCCACUGAACCCAGCCCUGACCCACGCUCCCUCUGCUGGUAACGUACUAAUUGAUUUAAUGUGUUCACAGCUUCUCACACACCCACUUGCACGCACAGCAGCAGCUCUGAAUGCCUGAGAUGAGAUCCAGGGCUGUGGUGAGUUCUCCCUUCCUACCAGUGAAAUCCUGAAUCAGAUGCAGAAAAUAAACCAGAUACAAUUCAAUUUACUAAGUCAAAAUUAGGCCCAAAACUGAACGUAAAUGGCCCGUUCCACACAGCUCUGACAUGACACACUCUCCUUCACAGCUGAAGGGAGGAAAUCAAAUUAGAGCAUUUCUUUUUCCAUCAAAGGACAUUAGUCCUCAUACGGGCUUGUUACGCCUCACCAUCAUUUAUCGUGUGCAGGAGUUAUCCCUGUAAGAAUUCAACUUGACUGGAGCUACAACAUGUUCUGCAUGUAAGGAAAAAAACCCAAAUACAAGUUUUCUACUAAGAAAGCCAUUUUCUUACUCUGUAUUUUGAUGAUUUUGUGAAGGUGGCAACCAUCCACAGCUGUUUUUUUGCAACACACCGGUGCACCUUGCCUCCUUCCCUGUUGUCACGUGUACAAAGUGCUUGAAGAGAGGUGAUACAAACCCCAACGCUGCAGAACUUCAAUACUAAAAGCCUUUAUCAAGUCUAUUAAGUGCCACUGGUACCAGCAGGAGAAAUUGCUUGGCUGGCUCCUGAAAUGUGUCCCCUCUUUGCUGUCAAGAGUGCAGCACUGCCCGAAGUCCACUCAGCCUUGCUCAUGGACUGGUGAGUGCCUGACAAUUUUCUGGUCUCAAAUGAAACAGAAAACUAAAUUAGCAAAUUAAUUGUUUGCCAUGUUUUUCCUUGGGCCCCAUCAGCUGCCUCAGGACUUGCAGCCAAUCCAGAGCCCCUCUCUGCAGUCCCGAGUAGAAGGUGGAGCCCUGCGCUGGGUCCUGCUAUCUACCAAGUGCUGAACAAGAUCUACCGUAACCUGCUUGGGAUCGUACCUGAGGAGUUGCACAGGAUCCUCAUAGUCUAUAGGAAGACAAUAACCACUCGCAGCACGAAGCCAGGAUUUUAUGUUUCUUCCCAGCCACAGAGAGGAGACACCUGUAUCUUCUCCCUGCAUUUGACUUCUUUGGCCUUAGGACUAAUGCAGCCUUGCCAGGACCCAAACAGGUCGUGCGACGGGUUCAAAAGUGUGCUUGAAAUCUGCUCCAAAAGGACCUGCCUGACUUCUCUAACAUGUUUGCUUCGGCUCAGUCACCUCCACCUCCGCUCAUCCUCGUGGCUUGUAGUUCCUGUGACCUGCAGCAUAGUCUCUGGUGAGGUGGGGAAGGUGAGGAUCAGCACCCUCGACAGUGGCUUCUUUGGACAAACAAUGCCAUCCUCUCCUUGCUCCCCCGUGUUUCUGCUGCCUGCUCUUGGAGCAGGGAAAUGGGGCAGGUUUGCACAGAGCUGGAGCAUCACAUGGGCUUUCACUUAAGCAUGCAAGCAUGGAAAAGUUUCAUUAACAGCGGGAUUCCCUUCAUGCAAUGUUUCCUCAGCUGCUGUGUCACAAAUCCAGCAUUUAACUUCCCAUUCAGGAAGCUCCUGUAAACUUCCCUCAUCCUCCUCAGCGGCCAAGCAGAAGGCUCCAGAGAUGAAGAGUGGAGCCUCUUGCAGUGUGUUUCAGUAACAUCACUUCAGACACGCCAUGUGGGAGUACAGAGUAUCAAGUACUCCGGUCUGAUACCCACAGGUCUCCCUGUUUAAGAUGUGCUCAGUACUACACCAGCAGCUAUAUAAAACUAACAUGUUUUUUACUGGAUUCUGUUUGUCUAGAUUCAGUGAUCUCUGCUCACUUGAGCCAGUUGAAAAAUAAACCCCAUUUUCAGCUGGAACACUAAAAAUACAGUGUAACUACUCUCCAGGAUGUGGUAGUUAUUUAAAAUACAGCACAAGUCUCAACCAGAUUAUCUUUUUUUCUCCUAACCAAGCAGGACUGCCCUUCUACCCAGCGCUGGGGAGCUGACAAAACAGCAGGAGAGGGAUUUGGACUGGAUCUAUUAUCAACAAUGCUGUUAAAUCACUUCCAACUGCAAAAUGUUUCCCUAUCAGUUAUGAAAGGAUUUCAAAUUCUGAACUAUCUGCUGGCCACGCACUUCACAUCACAAACUGAACACAAUUCAGAAGCCAGAAUGGUUCAUUUGUACCUAAUCACAGAACCUGGAACUUCUAAGGUGUCUGUGUACCUCCGACACAGAUCCCUGUGCUGGGCAGCGGGAGCACAUCCCAGUUCCCAGGACUCACUAAAGCCCUUCAAGCGGUUGAUAUUAAAGUGGUCAAUACUGGAGUGUCUGCCAUAAAAACAAGAGGACAAACAACAACUUGCUCACAAAAGAGCACACAAAAAGCACAUUUAGGAAUGAAGCAACUUCCCUCAAUUAAGAGUUCACAAAAUCGGGGCUUUUUUAUCUAUUCAUCUCCAACACUUGCAUUUCCUGCAGUUGGAGAAGCAUCCGAGUUCAGUUUAAUGUGCUGGGGUGGGGUUUUUAGGCUUUUGAUAAUCCUCCCAUGAUAAUUUAAACUAUCAACUAGGAAACAUAAAGCUUUUCAGCACAGACGACUGAAUCAGCUCUUUGUUGGAUGACGCUUUAUCCCCUUGAAGUAUCCAGGAUGAUUUACUCUAACGGGACAUGCAGACAAAGUGACAUUUUCCUAUCUUGUGCUAUCUAAACACAAGAUUGCAAUUACUCCAACACAACUGGCAUCAGGAUGCGGUGUGCUAUGGGCUUUGCAAUGGUGGCUGUUUAUUAGCUUUCCCAGGACCUGCCUUUUCUAAUUGAGGAGGAAAGAAAAGGAUCUGGAAACAAUCCAUUCUCAGGCCAAGGGUUUUGAAGUCGUUGUUUCAAAUUUGCUGACCUGCUCCAAGGAAAUCCUGCAUAAAUCCAUGGAUCUGCUGAUGAGUAAUAGGGGAGCUCUAGUGGUUUAGUAUUUCGAUGGCAGAAGGGAUGCAGUGCAGGAUUGACAGUAUUGUAUUGUAUUGACAGUAUAUGUGUAUUUACAAGUCACUGAUUGGAGUACAAAGUAAAACUGCAACAAAGACAGCAAUGAACUAAAAGGUAUUCAAAGGGAGCCGAGGCCUAAACCAGAGCACAGAUCAUCUUUAACUGAGUGGAGCUGGAGGGGUCUGAAGCCAGGAGAUGUUUUUUAGUCCUCAAGAGCCAGAGGCUGCUCUUUCCAUAGACCGAACUAUAGAAUUUAGAGCUAAAACAAAGAUCAGGAGGUGAGGACAGCCUUCACCCUUACUUUACAUUUGGAUAUUAGGUUUGUAAAUGGAGCCAUGUACAGAUUUAGGAAUGGUGUUAAGGAAAUGGAGGCAUAUGCAAGGUGCUGGGCAUCUAAAAUCAGGGAAUAUCUACGGAUGCAUUUGGUUGCUAACAGGAUUUAUGAGUAUCUACUCGCUAUAAUGAAUCCUUCCACAUAAUUUCAUUACACACUGCCUGCUUUUCCUGAGUUGUUCCAGCAUCCAAAAUUCAUGGAUUUAGUGGAAGAAGGGAGUUUUUGUGUCAGAGUUGCUUUGCAACAGCAGAAAGGAUCCUCAACUCCGUGUUCGAAUGGUGUUAAACCUUGGGAACUGGGGGAGAUGAGCAUGUGCCAGGCACCAGGUGAAGGGAGGCAGAGGAAGCCAGGUCUGAAAGUGUGAGGCUGGAUCACUAACGCCUGUAUCUAAUGAACCACACGGUUAUUUACCGAU